rnacentral:rRNA from 1 species
GACGGAGGAUGCAAGUGUUAUCCGGAAUCACUGGGCGUAAAGCGUCUGUAGGUGGUUUAAUAAGUCAACUGUUAAAUCUUGAGGCUCAACCUCAAAAUCGCAGUCGAAACUAUUAGGCUAGAGUAUAGUAGGGGUAAAGGGAAUUUCCAGUGGAGCGGUGAAAUGCGUAGAGAUUGGAAAGAACACCGAUGGCGAAGGCA